rnacentral:rRNA from 1 species
GAUGAACGCUGGCGGCGUGCCUAAUACAUGCCAGUCGAGCGAACAGACGAGGAGCUUGCUCCUCUGACGUUAGCGGCGGACGGGUGAGUAACACGUGGAUAACCUACCUAUAAGACUGGGAUAACUUCGGGAAACCGGAGCUAAUACCGGAUAAUAUAUUGAACCGCAUGGUUCAAUAGUGAAAUACGGUUUUGCUGUCACUUAUAGAUGGAUCCGCGCCGCAUUAGCUAGUUGGUAAGGUAACGGCUUACCAAGGCAACGAUGCGUAGCCGACCUGAGAGGGUGAUCGGCCACACUGGAACUGAGACACGGUCCAGACUCCUACGGGAGGCAGCAGUAGGGAAUCUUCCGCAAUGGGCGAAAGCCUGACGGAGCAACGCCGCGUGAGUGAUGAAGGUCUUCGGAUCGUAAAACUCUGUUAUUAGGGAAGAACAAAUGUGUAAGUAACUAUGCACGUCUUGACGGUACCUAAUCAGAAAGCCACGGCUAACUACGUG